CUGGUUCUUAUUAAUAUGGGUUUCUCAGUACAAUCUUAUAAUAUAAUUUCGUUGCAAAUCCAAGGCACUGAAGCAUUCUGUCCACGCGCCUACAUCGCCAUAGCUUUUGACUUCCAGCUCAUAAUUUUAGUCACAAAAUACAUCAGGGGUAAAAUGGAUUUUUCAUGUUGCAUUUAAUGGUGUUAGUUGUCAAAACUGACGGAAAUGUCAUAAAGGGAACAAAAUGAAGUUUGAGUGUCAAAACAGGAAGAAUUUUUUUACCAGGGCCAAAAAAGGAACCAAAUUUUAAGGAAGGGCCAAAUAAGGUAUUCUCUCUUGAACAUUUGGUGAAAUUAAUUGAUGAUCAUAUACAUGGGAAACAUUUUGGCAGAACUACAGUUAGUGAUGAUUUUCCCUACGCAUGGCCUAUAGCAGAACUGUAAUCUAGCAUUAUCUAAAAUAAGAGACCAGCCUUGGACUAUUAUCUUCCCAUGGUACCACCAUGCUAAUGCUGAAAACAACGUCUAGUACAAUGAAUCUUGCUUUGAAUAUAACAGAACUACUACCCUGCAACUUUAUUCUAUACUGAAAAAUAAUUGUUGCAAUAGUUAAGCUUAUUCCAAAUCUUGUAAGGUACAAUGCACAUACAAAAGAAAGGGUAUACAAUUUGCAGGUCACUAAUCAUAUACUUGAUUCUUAACUUUGUGUUGGGUUUCUUCUAACAUUUCAUAAUACAGAUAGGCAAAUACAUGAUUUAUUUCUGCUACAUUUUCCAGAACAGCAGGAUUAUGGAUAGUUCCGAGAAGGCGCCUCCCGAUCAAGGCUAUUAAUACUCUUGUUGUACUUGUCAAGUCCGACAUCCUAGUGCUAUGUCUCGGCUGUAUGGGUGUCAAGGAAAUUUUCAACCUGGCCUGAUGGAUGCAAGUGUUUCCUACUCUCGUAUCUCUAUGGUGAUCAAGACUCAGCGAUCCAUGACACACAGAACUUUGGCUCACUGCUCUCACAAAAAGGGGUAAACAUGCAUGGCGUGCCAUAACUGGGUCUGGUUUGCAAGGAAGCAUUCUGUUGUCUGGCCAUUAUUAUUGUGGUCACCUAUACAAAUCGAACUGAUCUGACAUGCUCAUCCUCCAUUCAUGGGUGAUUGUUGUCAUUAGCUCCACUCUUAUCACCUUACCAAAUCUGAAGCCUCGCUUCUCUCCUGGAUGUGCAUGUUGGUGGAUGGAUGUAUGCAUUCAGCAAAGCACAGAGGCAGAAGUCCACCAGUCCAAUCUUCAUCCUUGACUCUCAAAAAUCUGCAUAGGCACAACUCCAUUAUGCAUUACAAUAUGACACCAUGCUUUAGCCUCAUCAAUCUUUGUAAAGUUUGUGGAUGGACAUUUAGUUUGUUUUGAUAACUAAAGGGGAAAACCUUUGGCCAGAGCUGGACAUGAGAGCAAAGCGAGGGAUAAAGGAUUGCAUGGCAGUGCACUAUGUCUUAAAGUCCCUGGCAACAUCUGUUGUGCUAAUGAAAACUGGUGUCCUCAACCAAAUUGAGGGCCACAAAUUUUAUUCAGUACUCCAGCUAGGUAUUGCUAAUCAUGGUCCCCGGUCCCGUAGUGGAUGGAGCACCAAUUUUUUGGGAGUUGGAUCAAUCACAUCAGAUUCAAUCGGCAAUCGCUAAAUAGUAGUAAAGCUUGAAGUGAACUUACCUGAAGUUUUGGCAAGAAUUAAUCUG
rnacentral:lncRNA from 1 species